AUGGACAUUUGAGCUGUUUCCAGCUUGGGGCUAUUUAUGGAAAAAGCUACUCUAAACAUUUUCACCAAUAUCUUUUCUCUUGGUACUAGGCACUCUUUUCUCAUGGGUACAUUCAGAGAAGAGGAAUGUUUGUUCACUGUGAAGAGAACACCCCGUGUACUAUCGUGUAGAAGUUGUAGUAGACGCUGUGGUCUUUCCAACAACAAACAAAGUAAGCUUUCGAAGUUUUAUUAUCAAGUAUGAUAACCUCUGUAGGGUUUUCUUGAGAUACCCUUUAUUAGAUAAACAAAACCUCUCUCUGUAGUUUGCUACCAAUUUUAUUUUGAAUGGGUGUUGAAAAUAUCAAGUGCUCAUUUUGUGUCUACCGAGAUGCUCCUGUGAGUUUUAAUGGUAAUAUAAUAAAUCACAUUGUUUGAAUUUUAAAUCUUGGCACACAUUUAUAGAAUAAACCCAACUUGGUUGUAAUGUAUAAUUCUUUUUAUAUGCCACAGAUUUGGUUUGUUAAUAUUUCGUCUAGGAGUUUUGUAUCUCUGCUUAUGAGAAUAAUCUGCCC
rnacentral:lncRNA from 1 species